rnacentral:piRNA from 1 species
UGCAAAUGACCUCACAGGAAUAAAGACGUG